UGGGGAAUAUUGCACAAUGGGCGCAAGCCUGAUGCAGCAACGCCGCGUGAGGGACGACGGCCUUCGGGUUGUAAACCUCUUUUGGCAGGGAAGAAGCGAAAGUGACGGUACCUGCAGAAAAAGCACCGGCUAACUACGUGCCAGCAGCCGGGGUGAUACGUAGGGUGCAAGCGUUGUCCGGAAUUAUUGGGCGUAAAGAGCUCGUAGGCGGUUUGUCGCGUCUGCUGUGAAAACCCGAGGCUCAACCUCGGGCCUGCAGUGGGUACGGGCAAACUAGAGUGCGGUAGGGGAGAUUGGAAUUCCUGGUGUAGCGGUGGAAUGCGCAGAUAUCAGGAGGAACACCGAUGGCGAAGGCAGAUCUCUGGGCCGUAACUGACGCUGAGGAGCGAAAGCAUGGGGAGCGAACA
rnacentral:rRNA from 1 species